rnacentral:rRNA from 1 species
GGGUCAGUAGGUUGGUCGUGCCACCGGUACGUACUGGUCUCACUGAUUCCUCCUUCCUGAAGAACCGUAAUGCCAUUAAUUUGGUGUUGCGGGGAAACAGGACCGUCACUUUGAAAAAAUUAGAGUGUUUAAAGCAAGCUAACGCUUGAAUACAUUAGCAUGGAAUAAUGAAAUAGGACGAUCGAUCCUAUUUUGUUGGUUUCUAGGAUUGACGUA